UCAAGCAAUAAGGGCACAGGGCGGAUGCCUUGGCACUAAGAGCCGAUGAAAGACGUGAUAAGCUGCGAUAAGCUUCGGGGAGGAGCAAAUAUCCCGUGAUCCGGAGAUGUCUGAAUGGGGAAACCCACAUGAGCAAACCUCAUGUAUCCAUACGCCAAUCCAUAACGUAUGGAAGGGAACCCGGGGAACUGAAACAUCUAAGUACCCGGAGGAAAAGAAAGAAAACUCGAUUCCGUAAGUAGCGGCGAGCGAACGCGGAGGAGCCUAAACCGGAAUGCGUGCAUUCCGGGGUUACGGACUGCAUUUAAGAUUCUCUGAAGCUAACAGAACGGUUUUGGGAAAGCCGGCCGGAGAGGGUGAAAGCCCCGUACGUGAAAGCUGAUGAGACUGAGCAGGAUCCAGAGUACCACGAGACACGUGGAACCUUGUGGGAAAUCAGGGGGACCACCCCCUAAGGCUAAAUACUACUUAGUGACCGAUAGCGCAUAGUACUGUGAAGGAAAGGUGAAAAGGACCCCGGGAGGGGAGUGAAAGAGAACCUGAAACCCUGUGUCUACAAGCUGUGGAAGCACUUUAUAUGUGCGACCGCGUACUUUUUGUAGAACGGUCCGGCGAGUUACGCUUACUGGCAAGGUUAAGCACUUCAGGUGUGGAGCCGUAGGGAAACCAAGUCUUAAGAGGGCCUUAAGUCAGUAGGAGUAGACCCGAAACCGGGUGAUCUAUCCAUGUCCAGGUUGAAGCUGCCGUAAGAGGUAGUGGAGGACCGAACCCACAUCCGUUGAAAAGGGUGGGGAUGAGGUGUGGAUAGGGGAGAAAUUCCAAUCGAACCCGGAGAUAGCUGGUUCUCCUCGAAAUAGCUUUAGGGCUAGCCUCGAUACAGAUUUGCGGAGGUAGAGCACUGAAUUUCCUAGGGGGCGUCAAAGCCUACCGAAGAAUAUCAAACUCCGAAUGCCGCGUAAUCGAUUAUCGGGAGUCAGACUGCACGAGAUAAGUUGGGCGGUCAAAAGGGAAAGAGCCCAGACCUUCAGUUAAGGUCCCCAAGUGCGCGUUAAGUGGAAAAGGAUGUGGGAUUUCGAAGACAACCAGGAUGUUGGCUCAGAAGCAGCCAUCCAUUCAAAGAGUGCGUAAUAGCUCACUGGUCGAGAGGUCCUGCGCCGAAAAUGUCCGGGGCUGAAACGCGCCACCGAAACUAAGGAACCGAAAGGUUGGUAGAGGAGCAUUGCAUGCGGGAAGAAGCAGUACCGUAAGGAGCUGUGGACUGCAUGGAAGAGAGAAUGCCGGAAUGAGUAGCGAGAAUAAGGUGGGAAUCCUUAUGGCCGAAUAUCCAAGGUUUCCAGAGUAAAGCUGAUCUGCUCUGGGUAAGUCGGGGCCUAAGGCGAGGACGAGAGUCGUAGCCGAUGGACAACAGGUGGAGAUUCCUGUACUGCGGUAUGACAGAACUGUGGGGACACGUAAGGAAAGCGGAAGCCGGGAAUGGAAAGCCCGGUGCAAGCGGGGUACCAGUCACUUUGGCAAAUCCGGGUGGCAAUGGGAAGCCGUGAUGCGGAGCGAAAUAAAGUAGCGAAGUCCGUGAGCCAUGCGUCAAGAAAAGCCGCUAUCGUUUAUACCGUACCCGUACCGUAAACCGACACAGGUGGAUGAGGAGAGAAUCCUAAGGCCGGCGGAAGAAGCAUUGUCAAGGAACUCGGCAAAAUGGCCCCGUAACUUAGGGAUAAGGGGUGCCUGGGAAACCAGGCCGCAGAGAAUAGGCUCAAGCAACUGUUUAGCAAAAACACAGGUCUAUGCGAAACCGAAAGGUGAGGUAUAUGGGCUGACGCCUGCCCGGUGCUGGAAGGUUAAGAGGAGAGGUUAGCGCAAGCGAAGCUUUGAAUUUAAGCCCCAGUAAACGGCGGCCGUAACUAUAACGGUCCUAAGGUAGCGAAAUUCCUUGUC
rnacentral:rRNA from 1 species